UGAUCUCUCGAAAAAUAGUCUUUCUGGACUGAUUCCUAGAAGUCUGUCUUCUUUGAUUUUCUUGGCACACUUGAACUUGUCUUUUAACAACUUGGUAGGAAAAAUCCCAUCUGGUAAUCAGCUCCAAACGCUAAAUGAUGCAUCCAUAUACAAGGGCAACUCUUCAUUGUGUGGGUCUCCCCUUCCAACCAAGUGUCCAGGAGAUGAAACAUUUGAUGGCCCAACUAUUACCAGCGGCAGUAUUGAUGACAAACAAGAUGGAGAUGAUUAUGAAAGGUUAUGGUUCUAUGUUAGCAUCGGACUUGGGUUUGUUGUGGGAUUUUGGAGUGUUUGUUGCACCUUACUAGUGAAGAAGUCAUGGAGGCAUUGGUAUUUUCAAUUCUGUGAUGACAUCAAAGAUAGGAUAUCACUUAUAAUUGCAUUGAAAGUAGUUCAUUUGAAAAGAAAAUUUGGGUUGGAAAAAAUUGAAGUCUGUAGAUGGAAAGACUUUUUCAGUUCCUAAUUGAGAAGUCACACAAUCGCAAUUGGAUGACCUCCCUUAAGGUAUCAUGAAUAUGGAUAUCCACUAGAAGAGCAAGGAUGACCCAACAAUGGAUUGCCACAUCUCUUCUAGUCUGUCUCUUGAUGUUGUGAUGUUGUCAUUUCUGAACAUAUGAAUAACUGUUGUUAUUAUUAUGAAAUUUGGACUUGUAAUAACAGUCUUAUUAUUAUGAUUAUGGAGCUUGGCCCUUGGACUUGUAA